ACGGUCUCACAUACGUUGGAUUCGACUCGAAGAGCUCAGUCGCUUUUCUCAAUGUUUCUUUCUCGUCUCUCGCGUAAUCACCCGCUGGUGACGACGUCGUCGUCUAAAAGAAAAAUCUUCUCAAUUAAGGCAGGGACGAAUGAAAUGUUGGGUUCGAUCAGUGAUGGAUCCGCGUUCGCCAAAAGAUAAGUUGAACAAAUUUAUUUACUAUUUCGAAUUAAUAACUCUGACAAUAAUUUAGAGUGAUAAUAUCUUUAAUUAAGGAAGUAAAAAUCGACCGAAUUUAGACACCCAUAAAACACGAUUCUGCGGGCAUGAUCUGCGUUAAUGAAAUUUUCUUAUAGAAUCGUUCCAUUUUUCUUACUUUCCUUUCUUAUUGUUAUUUUACUAGCCUCAAAGUUGACUCGCGAGUGACUCGCGCAAAGUUUCGGGCCAAACUUUUAGUCCACUUGUUUUUGAAAAAACGCUUACGAAAGCUGAAUACGCAACGGGAAUGAAAUCUGAGAUUGCAAAAACUUUUGGAACAUUUGGAAAACGAAUUUCUUUGUUGAAAACAACAGCGUCAAGCACAAAAUAAAAAUUUUCAAAACUUUAAGGCUCUCCGUUCAUCAAAUUUUCACUCAGGAAAAGACUUUUUUGUUUCAAUACGAAGAUGUUUGGUUUGAUGCGUGAAAGACUUUCAAGCACAGCUUCACAUACUUUUUUUUCGAUCCCACUAAUAAUGCCCGAAUAUUACAGAAAAAAUACGGUUGAACGUGACUCAAUUGUCUUUGCAUUAUUUUUUGGCACUCACUCGCGAGCGUUCGUUAAUGUUAGUCAGUAUUGAACGUUGUUACGUACCUUAAGGAGUAUAACGCAGACGAAAAUGACGACAGCCCGCGAUAAAAGAGUCAUCGCUGAUGAAUUCGAGUUUGAGCUAAUAUUUUCUGUUAAAAAGAAAAAACAAAAAACUCGAUAACUUUAUUUGGAAUAGAGAAAUGCUCAAUUAUUUUGUUCGACAAAAGAUUAAUGGUAAUCCAAAUGAAUAUGAGCAUACGAUACAAAGCUCGUUGUUCUUUCAAUACUCCGAUCGAAUUGAAAAAACCACCUCCUGGCGGUUCUCGCAGUCACGAUGAAGAACAAUUAUUGCUGAAUUCAAAGACAUAUUCGUUGCGAGAAAUCCGCAUCGGCCCCGUUUCGAAUUCGCUGACUAGUCGCUAUAUCGUCAAAUUUCAUUACUUUUGAGCCAACAGCUCGCGACACGUUUUUACGGGGAUGAUUCUGCAGCUGCGGUCAUUCGCAAUCGCGCGAUUUGCCAACAUUUUUUUCUGUAAGCCAUCAAUCUCUUUCUGUGACAUUUCAAACGAUUCAAAUAAUCGAGACGUUUUUUCGCUAUUGCGCAUUUACGAUCGCAAUGCUGAUCGAUUGGUAGAUCAUCGUAUUUUUUCCUCUGCAACAUCGAACAAAUAUCGAUUCAACACUCUCUUCGAAACAUUUAAAUGAAAAAUAAAAAGAAUUUUCGAAAACGCAGGAGCAGAAUAAUGAUUUGGAAAAAGAAGGUUCGUUGCGUUUCGUGGAUUAAGCGGGUCACCCCGCGUGGCAGACGGUUUUUUUGUGAUCUCUUCGCGAUUUUUCUGCGGCCAGGAAAAAACAUAGACUUUUGAAAUUUGAAGGGUUUAUACGGAAAUAAAAAAUUGAAGGAUUUUCGCGUUUUGAAACACAAAAUUUCAGUUUCGAAAAAUAUUUAAAAGCACGAAACGCUCUUUCGUUUUUUCAUCUCAGAUCAACCGAUCCCCGAAAAAACCCCGAAAAAAAGAACGUUCCCGAAUAAUAAAAGAAGCUAUAAAAAAUAAAUUUUAAAUGGAAAAACCAAACCUGCUCGCUGGGUCGAUGGUACUUGAGGAUUUCGAGAUUAUAUGCGAUUAUCUCUUGGCCAAUAACAAGCACGAGUAUCAAUAAAACUAAGAAACCGCGACCCCCGUUCAAACCGGAAAUGAGGGAAUAUGACAUAAUUGAAAAUCGACGAAAGUACAGUGCGAUAAUCGAUACGAACUCUUUCAAUCGGCGUACUCGGUAAGAACUUUCUUGGAGGAACGAUGCAACGAUAUUGUUCGGGUGUUCGGGAAGUACUUUCCCUCUGACCCACAUGCGAUUCGAUUGUCAAAAUAAUCCAUUGUUUGUUAUCGAAAUAUUCAGUAAGCAUGCGUUAUGCAAAGAGGAAGUCGCUGCGUUUCCGGAUACACGGUGAUACCGCGUGAAUCACACGGUGGCCAAUAAAAUCGGCCAGUCGUUCGCGAGUAUCCUCAGAUCGAGUUUAGGAGAAAAAAACGUUUUCCAAUUCGACAUGCAGUGGAAAAAUAUUUUGCUCGCACCGUUGAUCCUUGCUCUGUCGCGUCAAUGGACCGCGAGUGCAGCACCGAUCCCAUCGGAGUGUUGCUCGCCAACGAGAUACGCAUGUCACCGGAGUGUCAACAGCCACCUCGCUGCACUGGCUGCACAGACCAUGAGUUCCGUUUCCGAUUGGGCUUCAUGGGUUUCUGACUGGAUCCCUCUCCUGGUCCUCAAUAUACCCGCGAACCCUUAUGGGACUGUUAGGAAAACUUACAGUUGUAAUCAUCUUUCUCACCGUAGCCACCACGACGAUUCCUGCGAAUAUUGCGAGUGGUGAAUCGUGCUGGACAUUUGUUAUUUGUUCGAAAUAAACACUUUUUUUACAAGC